CUCGAAGCUCUCCCGCAUCUCCUAAGCUCCCAGUGGGCUCUCAUCCCAUGGCUCCCAGACCUUACAGAAUGUCCCCGAGGAUCCCCGCAGUCUGGCCGUUAGGUCGUCCAUCAGUCUCACCUCCCUUAUUCGUGAGUAUACACUUGCCAUUUGUGGCGCUUCUGGUUGUAACCAGGUGUAUGCUAUCGCUCUCCUAGCUGCUAAGGUGAGCUUAUGGAGUAGUGUCUGCUCCCGUCUCGUCCAUCCAUCUAUUGACCUAUUGAGGAGAUAAACCCAAGGAUCUAAAGCUGGAGCUCUAGAGAAAACCUGGAUCAGAAGGUCCUUUAUGGACCCCCAAAACCCUUUAAGCCUCGGAAGUGCCUACUUCUAAAAGUGCC